GUUGGAAUUGCGCGGAUAGUAAUUGACGAAGGCAUAGCCACGGGCCUGGUCGAUGGCGUGGAACAGCGGGUUCCAGUCGAACAUCGCCAGCAUGUAGCCCGGCAGCGUGUUGGCGACGAACAUCUUGCCCGAAGCGAUCAUGUUGGCGCGCUG
rnacentral:ncRNA from 1 species